GCAACCUAAGUGCCCAUCAAGGGACAAAUGGAUAAAGAAGAUGUGGUAUAUAUACACAAUGGAAUAUUACUCAGCCAUAAGAAACUAUGAAAUCCAGCCAUUUGUGACAACGUGGAUGGACAUUGAAGAAUGGUGCUUUAUGAAGACAGGGAUCUUUUAUUCCUGUUCACUGCCAUAUCCCUUUAUCCCGGAACAGUGCCUGGCCCAUAGAAGAUUAGCCCUGAGCUAACAUCCGUCGUCAGUCUUCCUCUUUUUGCCGUGGAAGACCGGCCCUGGGCUAACAUCCGUGCCCAUCUUCCUCUACUUUAUAUGGGACUUCGCCACAGCAUGGCUUGACAAACAGUGCCAUCGUCCGCGCCUGGGAUCUGAAUCUGCAAACCCCAGGCCGCCAAAGCGCAGCGUGCACUCAACAGCUCUGCUACCGGGCCAGCCCCCUCACUUUGCCCUUAAAGGUCACCCCUGACUUUCCUGCCCAGUACCUCCAAUUGCCGAGGUCAAAAUUCUUUAACUCUUGUCUACUUGAUUGGUUUCCUAAAAUCUACCUGCUUCUUGCCACACUCAUAUUCCCACCCUCCCUCCAACCCCAUCACCAACCCCAGCUACUUCAACAGACUCUGAUGGUUUUGCAAUGUUUUUCCUGCCUGCCUAUCCAGAUUAAUGAUGAUUUUCUGUGGCAAAGAAUAUGAGCUGCCAACCCCAAUAUCCAUUCUUCCUUUGCGACAGAACUCGGGGCAAUGUGCCUGCUGAAAAAAUUUCAUUUCCUAGCUUCCAUUACCAAUAGGAAUAUACAAGUGGAAGUAACUGGGUGGAACUUCUAGGAAUCUCUGCUGCCUGGAAUGCAGACAUGUUGGUUGGAUGUCUAGUAGCCACCUUGAGAGCAUGGGACGAGACUAAGAUAAUAAAAGAGACAAACGCCAGCAAGGGCCUACCUUCAAACUUCUCAUUAUGUGAGAAAAGCAAAACCUUAUGUAUUAAGAAUCAUCACAUCUCUGUUGUUAGGAGCCAAAAACAAGACCUCACAGAUACACCUCUGCGUGGAUCCUGUGGCACACUGCCCCACCCCCUUCAGCAAUGAAAGCCUUAUUC